UUACGGCUAUAUCACGUUGAAACAUCGGUUCCCGUACGAUCACCGAAAUUAAGCAACGUCUAGUCUGGUCAGUACUUAGAUGAGUAACCGCUUGGGAAUAGUAGGUGUU